UGGGGGAUAUUGCACAAUGGGCGAAAGCCUGAUGCAGCGACGCCGCGUGGGGGAUGAAGGCUUUCGGGUUGUAAACCUCUUUCGCUAUCGAACAAGGCCCGCUUAGGGUGGGUUGAGGGUAGGUGGAGAAGAAGCGCCGGCUAACUACGUGUCAGCAGCCGCGGUAAUACGUAGGGCGCGAGCGUUGUCCGGAAUUAUUGGGCGUAAAGGGCUUGUAGGCGGCUUGUUGCGCCUGCUGUGAAAACGCGGGGCUUAACUUCGCGCGUGCAGUGGGUACGGGCAGGCUUGAGUGUGGUAGGGGUGACUGGAAUUCCAGGUGUAGCGCUGGAAUGCGCAGAUAUCUGGAGGAACACCGAUGGCGAAGGCAGGUCACUGGGCCAUUACUGACGCUGAGGAGCGAAAGCAUGGGUAGCGAACAGG
rnacentral:rRNA from 1 species